rnacentral:tRNA from 1 species
GAGGGUGUAGUUCAGUAGUAGAGUGUGUGCUUAGCAUGCACAAAGUCCUGGAUUCAAUCCCCAGUACCUCCA